rnacentral:tRNA from 1 species
GGGCCUGUAACUCAGAGGAUUAGAGCACGUGGCUAYGAACCACGGUGUCGGGGGUUCGAAUCCUUCCUCGCCCA